rnacentral:rRNA from 1 species
GAACCGUGCGAACGUUGUUCGGAAUCACUGGGCUUAAAGGGCGCGUAGGCGGGCACCCAAGUCAGGGGUGAAAGCCCCCGGCCCAACCGGGGAAGUGCUUCUGAUACUGGGUGCCUCGAGCGGGGUAGGGGCACGCGGAACUUCCGGUGGAGCGGUGAAAUGCGUAGAUAUCGGAAGGAACGCCGGUGGCGAAAGCGGCGUGCUGGACCCCCCCUGACGCUGAGGCGCGAAAGCCAGGGGAGCGAACGGGAUUAGAUACCCCGGUAGUCCUGGCCCUAAACGAUGGGCACCAGGCCGUGGGCUGACAUGGGCUCACAGCCGAGGCAAAAGUGUUAAGUGCCCCGCCUGGGGAGUAUGGUCGCAAGGCUGAA